AUUGAACGCUAGCGGCAGGCCUAACACAUGCAAGUCGAACGAGUGGCGGACGGGUGAGUAAUGUAUGGGAAACUGCCUGAUGGCGGGGGAUAACUACUGGAAAUGGUAGCUAAUACCUCAUACUAUCAGAUGUGCCCAGAUGGGAUUAGCUUGUUGGUGGUGUAACGGCUCACCAAAGCUACUAUCCCUAGCUGGUCUGAGAGGAUGACCAGCCACACUGGAACUGAGACCCGGCCCAGACUCCUACGGGAGACAGCAGUGGGGAAUAUUGGAGAAUGGGCGCAAGCCUGAUGCAUCCAUGCCGCGUGUAUGAUGAAGGCCUUCGGGUUGUAAAGUACUUUCUGCGGGGAGGCGUUACCCGCAGAAGAAGCACCGGCUAACUCCGUGCCAGCCGCCGCGGUAAUUC
rnacentral:rRNA from 1 species